GUGCUUUCUUCAGCAGCACGUAUACUAAAAAUUGGAACGAUACAGAGAAGAUUAGCAUGGCCCCUGCACAAAGAUGAAAGCAAUUUGGUGAAGUGCUCCAUAUUUAA
ensembl:snRNA U6 U6 spliceosomal RNA